AUUGAACGCUGGCGGCAUGCCUUACACAUGCAAGUCGAACGGCAGCACGGGAGCAAUCCUGGUGGCGAGUGGCGAACGGGUGAGUAAAGUAUCGGAACGUGCCCAGUCGUGGGGGAUAACGUAGCGAAAGUUACGCUAAUACCGCAUACGAUCUAUGGAUGAAAGCGGGGGAUCGCAAGACCUCGCGCGAUUGGAGCGGCCGAUAUCAGAUUAGGUAGUUGGUGGGGUAAAGGCUCACCAAGCCGACGAUCUGUAGCUGGUCUGGGAGGACGACCAGCCACACUGGGACUGAGACACGGCCCAGACUCCUACGGGAGGCAGCAGUGGGGAAUUUUGGACAAUGGGCGAAAGCCUGAUCCAGCCAUGCCGUGUGCAGGAUGAAGGCCUUCGGGUUGUAAACUGCUUUUGUACGGAACGAAAAGGUUUGGGCUAAUAAGCUGAGCUCAUGACGGUACCGUAAGAAUAAGCACCGGCUAACCACGUGCCAGCCGCCGCAGUAA
rnacentral:rRNA from 1 species